rnacentral:snRNA from 1 species
CAAUGAGGGCAAUCUGGCUGCAACACCUGUCACACCACUGAUCACCAGGGUUGAUUUGGGUGAUCUGUCUGCAUAGGCAAGUGUCCCCUUCUUCCCACCACUCCAUGUGCAUCCCUCCUGAAGCUGAGUGCUCAGUGGAAAGACAUGACCUUCCCCCACAGAGGAGGACCAUUCUUCAUUCAGGCUAUAGUAGCAGCUUGCUCUCCUGCUAGAAUCUCUCAAAAGAAGUUCUGAGAGAUUGGUGAUUCUGAGAAACAGUUACAUUAAAAAAUAAGUUGUUAUUCCAAUUAUUAAUAUAUU